CCUCAUUACGCGCGCAUUUGAAGUGUUGAACAACAACUUCAACAAACUCGUUCCCUUCAAAACAAUUCUUAACAAUUUUCAUCCUCCUAAUCCGAUCCUGAACUAACAAUCUCCCCCUUAAAACCCUGACAACUCCAACCAUCUCAUCCGUCCGAUCAUCUUCAACAUAAUCACAACCGUACACCGGCGGCACCGGCGCAUCGUUAUCGGCGUAUUCCUCCACCACCAUCUCCGUCAACCUCCGUUCAAAUUCGCCGCUAUUUCGAAGCGAAUUUAACGCUACUAAUCCUCCUAUUAGCUUCUCGUUGAAGAAAAUCAUCGGCACCGAAACCGUUCCCGUUCUUUCACGUAGCUCCUUCUCUCGUUCACGAAACACGUCGACGUUGAUUUCAACGAAUUUCAGCUUUUUCUCUUUGAAGAAUUUUCUCACUGCGGUACAAUCUCUACAACUUGACCUCGAGAAGAACGUGAUUCUCCCUUUCAUCUUUUCAUCUUCUUCUUCUCCAGGUUUCGUUUUCACCACGACUCUGAGUCCUGAAAGAUUGAACUCUGUCACGUUCUCCUCUUCAACCGAUUGUCGAAAGGAAGAAACUCGUUUCGCAAUCGCUGCUGAUAAAUCAUUGCUCCUUUGACGGAUAAACGUGCCGAAAUCCGGCAUGGUUCCUCCGGUGACGGAUAAGCUAGUCGGAGAUUCGUUGUUUUUGUUGGUUUGAUAUAUCUCCGGUGGAACUGGCGUUGGGAGAAGAGAAUGAGGAUGAUGAAUAAACCCUUCGUUUUUGCUAUCUACACCUCCUUGUUCAUAACUAAUUUCGUUGUUAGUAACGGUUUCGUGGCCGUUAGCGUGAUUUUCGGGUAAGACGAAAUGAAGUGGAAUAUUUAUGGGUUGAAGUUGAACUGCUUCUGUUGGUUUCUCGGGUUCCGUGCCGUUAGCUUCGGGACCCAUUACGGCGAAGUGGAAAGUUGGAUUAUGGGGGAGAGAAUCAAAUUAGGGGUUUAUAUUAGUGAAAUUUGGAAAAAUUAAUUAAUUGAUUUUAUAAGAGAAAGAAGAGGUAGUUUUUUUUUUUUUUGGACUGCAAGAAGGGUUGGUCUUGUGAGCAAGAUUCUUUAAAAUAUUUCAAUUGGGAUAUACGAGGUGAAUAGGUCCAAUAAAAGACUAGACAAAGGUUGUCUUUUCGAUUUUUUUUUUUUUUUUUUGUAUUUUGCCUUUUCUUUUUUUAUUCAUUUUAAGUUUCAUGUUUCAUUCACGUGGCAAAUGACAAUUUCUUUUUUUAUAGGAGA
rnacentral:lncRNA from 1 species